GAUGAACGCUGGCGGCGUGCCUAAUACAUGCAAGUCGAGCGAACAGACGAGGAGCUUGCUCCUCUGACGUUAGCGGCGGACGGGUGAGUAACACGUGGAUAACCUACCUAUAAGACUGGGAUAACUUCGGGAAGCCGGAGCUAAUACCGGAUAAUAUAUUUAACCGCAUGGUUCAAUAGUGAAAGACGGUUUUGCUGUCACUUAUAGAUGGAUCCGCGCCGCAUUAGCUAGUUGGUAAGGUAACGGCUUACCAAGGCAACGAUGCGUAGCCGACCUGAGAGGGUGAUCGGCCACACUGGAACUGAGACACGGUCCAGACUCCUACGGGAGGCAGCAGUAGGGAAUCUUCCGCAAUGGGCGAAAGCCUGACGGAGCAACGCCGCGUGAGUGAUGAAGGUCUUCGGAUCGUAAAACUCUGUUAUUAGGGAAGAACAAAUGUGUAAGUAACUAUGCACGUCUUGACGGUACCUAAUCAGAAAGCCACGGCUAACUACGUG
rnacentral:rRNA from 1 species